GACGAACGAUGGCGGCGUGCUUAACACAUGCAAGUCGAACGGAAAGGCCCUGCUUUUGUGGGGUGCUCGAGUGGCGAACGGGUGAGUAACACGUGAGUAACCUGCCCUUGACUUUGGGAUAACUUCAGGAAACUGGGGCUAAUACCGGAUAGGAGCUCCUGCUGCAUGGUGGGGGUUGGAAAGUUUCGGCGGUUGGGGAUGGACUCGCGGCUUAUCAGCUUGUUGGUGGGGUAGUGGCUUACCAAGGCUUUGACGGGUAGCCGGCCUGAGAGGGUGACCGGCCACAUUGGGACUGAGAUACGGCCCAGACUCCUACGGGAGGCAGCUGUGGGGAAUAUUGCACAAUGGGCGGAAGCCUGAUGCAGCAACGCCGCGUGCGGGAUGACGGCCUUCGGGUUGUAAACCGCUUUCGCCUGUGACGAAGCGUGAGUGACGGUAAUGGGUAAAGAAGCACCGGCUAACUACGUG
rnacentral:rRNA from 1 species